rnacentral:rRNA from 1 species
AACGAACGCUGGCGGUAUGCCUAACACAUGCAAGUCGAACGAGACCUUCGGGUCUAGUGGCGCACGGGUGCGUAACGCGUGGGAAUCUGCCCCUUGCUUCGGAAUAACAGUUAGAAAUGACUGCUAAUACCGGAUGAUGUCUUCGGACCAAAGAUUUAUCGGCAAAGGAUGAGCCCGCGUAGGAUUAGGUAGUUGGUGGGGUAAAAGGCCUACCAAGCCGACGAUCCUUAGCUGGUCUGAGAGGAUGAUCAGCCACACUGGGACUGAGACACGGCCCAGACUCCUACGGGAGGCAGCAGUGGGGAAUAUUGGACAAUGGGCGAAAGCCUGAUCCAGCAAUGCCGCGUGCGUGAUGAAGCCUCGGUCGUAAGACGUCUUUACCUAGGAGUGAUAA